GACGAACGCUGGCGGCGUGCUUAACACAUGCAAGUCGAACGGAAAGGCCCUGCUUUUGUGGGGUGCUCGAGUGGCGAACGGGUGAGUAACACGUGAGUAACCUGCCCUUGACUUUGGGAUAACUUCAGGAAACUGGGGCUAAUACCGGAUAGGAGCUCCUGCUGCAUGGUGGGGGUUGGAAAGUUUCGGCGGUUGGGGAUGGACUCGCGGCUUAUCAGCUUGUUGGUGGGGUAGUGGCUUGCCAAGGCUUUGACGGGUAGCCGGCCUGGGAGGGUGGACGGCCACAUUGGGCCUGAGGUACGGACCAGACUCCUACGGGAGGCAGCAGUGGGGAAUCUUGCACAAUGGGCGGAAGCCUGAUGCAGCAACGCCGCGUGCGGGAUGACGGCCUUCGGGUUGUAAACCGCUUUCGCCUGUGACGAAGCGUGAGUGACGGUAAUGGGUAAAGAAGCACCGGCUAACUACGUG
rnacentral:rRNA from 1 species